rnacentral:rRNA from 1 species
UACGUAGGGUGCGAGCGUUAAUCGGAAUACUGGGCGUAAGGCGUGCGCAGGCGGUUAUGCAAGACAGAUGUGAAAUCCCCGGGCUCAACCUGGGAACUGCAUUUGUGACUGCAUAGCUAGAGUACGGUAGAGGGGGAUGGAAUUCCGCGUGUAGCAGUGAAAUGCGUAGAUAUGCGGAGGAACACCGAUGGCGAAGGCAAUCCCCUGGACCUGUACUGACGCUCCAUGCACGAAAGCGUGGGGAGCAAACAGG